rnacentral:rRNA from 1 species
UGGGGAAUAUUGCACAAUGGGAGAAAUCCUGAUGCAGCGACGCCGCGUGGGUGGUGAAGGCCUUCGGGUUGUAAAGCCCUGUCGACUGGGAACAAGGUAGUCGUGCUCAUACCACGAUUGCUUGAGUGUACCAGUAAAGGAAGCACCGGCUAACCCUGUGCCAGCAGCCGCGGUAAUACAGGGGGUGCUAGCGUUGUUCGGAAUCACUGGGCGUAAAGGGCGCGUAGGCGGUUUUGCAAGUCAGAAGUGAAAUCCCGGAGCUUAACUCCGGAAUUGCUCCUGAUACUGCAGGGCUAGAGUGUGUUAGAGGAUGGCGGAAUUCCUAGUGUAGUGGUGAAAUACGUAGAUAUUAGGAAGAACACCGGUGGCGAAGGCGGCCAUCUGGGACACAACUGACGCUGAGGCGCGAAAGCGUGGGGAUCAAACAGG